AUGUUCCAAACUUUUUUCACAAGGGGCCAUGUUAAUAUAGCCUUGCUGAACUACUCUUUAAGUCGGUAUGCACUGAAUAAAAGCUGCACAAAGAUUGGGCAAUGUAGAGUAGAACAGAAUACGCAGAAGUCAUUCAGGACAAGCAACACUACAGCUGCGUACAGAAGCUGCAGAACAACAGUGAGUAACUGGACGUUAGCACGGAAAAGGAAGACUGUAAAUAUGAGAGCCAGAGUGGAGGAAGACAGCUGCUAUGAGAGCUGGGGACACCAGAGAACUACAGGGGUAGGUUGCCGGCAAGAGUGA
rnacentral:lncRNA from 1 species